rnacentral:sRNA from 1 species
CAACGCCUGCAAUACCAUCCUUCGUCUUUCAUGAGCUGAACGGUUCAAGAAUUCCACCCUCGCAGAAAUCGACUCAUUUCAUUCUAAUUUCCAUCCAUCACGCAGUUUUAAAGGCGGUACAUUUUACAACAUUAUACAUAUGCCUAAUCGUACUUCGUGUCACUACGUAAAGAUCUUGCAGAAUCUUAUAUAUCGUGUUUUUUUCGUAUAGAGUCUUUACUUUUGAUAUCAGGCCACAAGUCCGUUACGGGCUUCUUGCCGCUAGGUCUUUUUCCGCAUUUGCGUACACCUCGGGUAGACUGAACGUGACGCUUUUUUUGAUAGACUUGUUUUUUCUAAUAUUAUUGAACCAAACGGCGGUCAACUACUAUUCGUCGGUACAACUCGUUCAUCAAGCAUUGAAAGGAGACUUACCCCGCUCCAAGGCUUACAUAAACCCGUUCUCGAAAACGGAUAAUGCUGCGGUAAAGCGGUUAUGGGUGCCCUACAUUUCCCAUUCCGCAAGUCAGCACCAUACACUUCGCAGCCAAAAUCGUACUUAAGCCUUCGGCCAGCCAUAUAUAAUAUAUGGAGAGUGGUGGCCUGCAAGUACAUACGGCUGCCAUCCUUCGGGAGCUUUACCUUUCCAGCCGGCCAUCAUUUGCGCUGCUACUCCUGGUGGCAUGGGGUAUGGAUACGGCCAUCCCGCCCAACCAUUCGUUGCUAUCGCCGGUGCUGUAUAUCCGUCAUUCGCCCAUAAGCCUCCCCACAUGGCAGCGAUCGCCUCUUGCUUCUUCUUUGCUGCUUCAUCCUCCUUCUUCUUCUUUUCCUUGACCGACCGCUCGAGUAUCGGUUUUGCAAUCUUCUUGAUAUGCUCGGCUCCAACCACCGAGUCGGCGGCGUCGGCGAGUUUCCCGAGUUGCUCGUGGAGAGAGGCAAUAGCCGGAUCUGGCAUUUUUGCGAGAAUCAUAAGAGCCUUGUAAUUAUAUGGCCAUGAGAGCUCUAACCGCGCUUUCAAGACUUCCAUAAUGACUUUUUGGUAAGACUCCGUUUUACCCCACUCUUCAUACCAUGCAAGGCGCGAGUCGUCUGGACCAACAUCGCGCAUGUGGUUCGUGUCGUGCUCUGUCAUGUCGCGAAUAGCGCCUUCAGGGUUGGAUACGAAUGGACUGUGGCGGAUGGUGAUUAGCAGGUGGUAAAUUUAUACAUUAGCAUGGCCUAUUUCUACGACUAUCAAGAGAUAGACUUACUUUGAGCUUGAUAAGCUGCUAGGAAAAGCCCAAUAACCUCCUAUAGCUGGUGGCAUCCCGGCCCCACCGCCACCCCAGAGACCCCAGGGAGCAAUCAUUGGAGCAAGAAAUCUUUUCUUGCGAAGCUUGGAAGGUUUGUGAUUGAAGGCGUAUAUGGCGGCGUGUACAGGUCGGAGCGAGGCCUGAAAGAAGGGCUGGUCUGCGAGUAUCAGUGAUUAUUGAAUAGUUAGUAGUCAGUGGCAAGAAGAAGAAGGAUGGGAAUUGGAUGAGGUGUGAAUGGCGAGUGUCGUAUCCUUGCCAGGGACAUGCAGAAGCAUCACAGUCCAGUCAGCCGUGGGCCCAAGCUCUUCCCCGAUCUGGAACGGGGGUGGUUUUCAUUUCCUGCGUUAUGGAUCUCCACCACGUGCCGCGUUCUGCCCGCAUGCGAAAACUGUUUCCUCACCCACAGGCUUCCGGCCAUCAUCCCAUCAACACCAUCAUCCCUGCUUGUUUACCUCCUGCUGCGCCCCGGCCCCGUGCCGAUCCUUUCGGAGUGAUCGCGUACCUGCUCUUGUGUCCAAAAAGAUGGAAGCCUAUACACCACAUGAGGAAAAGAUGAUCUUUGUAACGGGGCGUAGACUGAUCUACCCCAGCUGCUUUGCUCGUCUCGGCCUCGUACAGCCUAGAGCUCGACUCGUACAAUGCCGAUAAUCCAUAUUCUUACCUCAUUCCGUGGGAUAAAUUGGGUAGCAUCCUAGAACUUGUCAGAAAAGCCGAAUACAAAGAAGGAUUUCCAGCUUAUAUGCGCCAAUUGUCCCAAUUGUCCUACAGCCUGUUUGCUGUAUUUCCUGGAUGCAAAUUUGAC